rnacentral:rRNA from 1 species
AUUGAACGCUGGCGGCAGGCCUAACACAUGCAAGUCGAGCGAGUGGCGGACGGGUGAGUAAUGUAUGGGGAACUGCCUGAUAGAGGGGGAUAACUACUGGAAAAGGUGGCUAAUACCGCAUACGAUCGGAUGAACCCAUAUGGGAUUAGCUAGUAUGUGGGGUAAAGGCUCACCGAGGCGACGAUCUCUAGCUGGUCUGAGAGGAUGCUCAGCCACACUGGGACUGAUACACGGCCCAGACUCCGACGGGAGGCAGCAGUGGGAAAUAUUGCACAAUGGGCGCAAGCCUGAUGCAGCCAUGCCGCGUGUAUGAAGAAGGCCUUAGGGUUGUAAAGUACUUUCAGCGGGGAGGCGUUACCCGCAGAAGAAGCACCGGCUAACUCCGUGCCAGCAGCCGCGGUAAUUC